UAUAUUUGUGACUUAAGGUCAAAUGAACUAAGGCGUACGGUGGAGACCUAGGCACUCAGAGACGAAGAAGGGCGCAGAUACCGGCGAUACGCUUCGGGGAGCUGGCAACAAGCUUAGAUCCGAAGAUUCCCGAAUAGGGCAACCUCAUAGAACUACCUAUAUAAUUCAUAGUUAGGUACGAGGCAACCCAGUGAACUGAAACAUCUAAGUAGCUGGAGGAAAAGAAAGCAAACGCGAUUCCCGUAGUAGCGGCGAGCGAACUGGGAACAGCCUAAACCUACGCCGCAAGGUGUAGGGGUCGUGGGAGGACAAC
rnacentral:rRNA from 1 species